CCUGGCUACAUUGCACAAAUUCUACAAGCCAAGAUGUGUCUAUGAAGCUGACGCUAACCAGAGGCGGAAGAGCAUUACAAAUUGAGUGAAGCUCCUAGUUGGGUUAACGGCAGCCCUGGCCCCAGGAUCUCAAAAGCAGCCUGAAAAGCAGAUGAUGACAAUGGAACAUGGAUAUGCAGCCCCUGGGGCGAACCUGAGUGUUUGAAAUGCAUGGCAACAAUGUUUAAUUCAUGGCAACAAUGAAUCAGUGCUCUAAGGAAGAAAGAAGUGAAUGGCAAGAUUGCACUUGCCCUCACAGGACUGCCAGCCAGAAACUACAUUUCCCAGCAUCCCUUGCAGCUUGGUAUGGCCAUGUGACCACAUUCUCAUUAAUACAGGGAUCACAGGAUCUCAGGAUCUCACUCUGUCACCCAGGUUGGAGUGCACUGAUGUGAUCUCAGCUCACUGCAACCUCUGCCUCCCAGGCUCAAGUGAUCCUCCUACCUCAGCCUCCAGAGUAGGUGGGACUACAGGUGCAUGCCACCCUGCCUGGCUAAUUUUUGUAUUUUUUGUAGAGACAGGGUUUUGCCAUGUUGCCCAGGCUGGUCUCGAACUCCUGAGCUCAGGUGAUCCACCCACCUUGGUCUCCCAAAGUGCUAGGAUUACAGUCAUGAGCCACUGCACCCAGCCUAAAAACUUUUCUAAAAGACAACAUAUUCAAAAAUAAAUUUCAUGGGAACAUUUUAAUGACAUUUCUUAAGUUAACAUGUUUCUGAUUUGUCAAAGUGAAGUGUAAACACUGUCCAAAUGUAAACACUUUCGAAGUGUAAACACUCUCAAAGUGUGUUGGAGAAUACAGAUCCUCUUAUGUGGAAAGGAGUAGUGAGGCGGCCUUUAAACACUUACACAAAACACAAGCAUUGCAAAGACAUACUCUAUGCGAUAGAGAGGCAACAGGAUCCUGAAUGAACAGGUGUAGCCAAGGUGCUCUGCCAACGUGGACUUCCUGGACUGUGAUUGGAAAGAGCAAAGGCUUCUUUCUUUCUUAAGCCACUGCAUUUUUAAAUUUCUUUCUUAUAGCUGUCUAACCUUUAUCCUGACAAAUACACUGAGUAAAACAGAGCGAGUAGACAAUCAACAUUUGCUGAAUAAAUGAAUAAAUGUAUAAGCAAUGUGUUAGUGAAUACAAAUUUCCUCAUACAUCUAGGACAAUGUAGCAUCCUAUAUUGUUUUAUUUGUUUCUGGGACAGUGUCUCCAAAGAUAGCUCCAACCUGAACAGGGUCACACUGAGUCACAUUGUGCCUGGGUAGGAGUGCCAGCUGCAGAGGGGGGUGAUGGGUCCACCUCUGUGUCAUGCAACUGCUAGUGUGACACUGAGAAAUUAGGGUAGGAACUCUGGCCUCCAGGUGUUCUAAGAAAUACAGACAGCAGCAUCACCUACUACCCCCAUCACAAAUGUUUAUGUGUCAGAGGUUUUUAAGAGAAAAAUUAAGCA
rnacentral:lncRNA from 10 species